CCAGAUUAAAUACCUGAGGGUGGGUAGGGUCAAAAAAACUCCAGAAAAGUAUUACUGAUUUCUGCAGCAAAGAUUUAUCACAGAGGUUAACUUCUUCUUCAUCAGAAAGGCGCCGUCUUGCUGAUACUGCUAUCAUCCCUGAUUGAGGGAGAAAAUGAAUGGUGUCUGAAGAGACAAUCCAAGUUUCGACAUGCUGUUAAUUAUUCUAAGUGACUUAUAAUUAUACUUUCUGAUUACAGUGCAAGAAACACUGCAAAAUGUACAGAUGUUUUCCUUUUUAGAGAUCAACUUUGAAGACAUUAUUUUUGUUACUUCACCUUAAUUAACAAUGAGUCGUGGCACCUAAACAUCAGGAUAAAAUUCCACUUUUUUGCUAAUGCCUCCUUAAAGCUGUGAUACCUGAAAUGAUGUGACACAUCUACGCCACCCAUCAUGAAAUCAAGACUUUUGUAGCUGAAUUAAUUCUCUACGCAGACUGCAGUGUUGGCUGUGGGUUAGUGGUGGGCAGAUACAGUUGGACUCAAGGAGCUCAAAGAUCUUUUCCAACCAAGCGAUUCUAUGAUUCCAUGAUUCUAUUCAUAUGCUGUGCAGCUGGAUGUUGAUAUAGAACUUAAUUGUGCCUUUAAGCCUGGCUGUGUAGAGCAAUAAUCCAUCGCACAGAGCACGAGGAGAUAUUUGAGUGCCUCGUGAUGCUCUCCGGUACUCAGCAGAGUCGCGUCCUGUUGCGGCUCUAACAUUCCUCCACAAGUAUUAGGCAUGCGACAAGAACCAGGCGUGGGGAGAACAACGAUGGUAUCCAGAGCCACCAGAAGGACCUGGCACAGUUGCAGCCCCGCUUAAACGAGCCGCGUAAGGGAGAAAUCUCCCUUUCCUGUGAUCUCUGCUUAUAGGGUUUCUGUCUAGCAGUGAUCACACAGGGCACUGGGAUGCAGAAAGGCCACUGCUUGCACUGAUUCCUAGAGGAACCUAAGGCCAACCUGGAGCUGGUGGAGCCCUAAGUCAAAGAGGCAACAAAGCCCUCUCCUGCAGGAGGGGCAGACAGGAGAGGUGACCCCAAACUGACCAACAGAGCAUUCCAUCGCACGGAUGUCAUACGUGGUAUAAAAUAGAGAGGUCACGAGAGUCUCAUGGUCAUCUUUGAUGGGCAGUGUCCAGGGAGGACCUCAUCUGUCUGGUUGCUCCUGAUCCUAGACUCAUGCGUUCCUGAAUUUGGUUUCUGAGCCCAGCUCCCUUCCAGCCUCCAGCACUCAUAGAGAGUUUCUGGAGGCUGUGCCAUCAAACAGAGCAAAAUAGUGCUUCUGCAAAACUUCAGUGCUGAAAUAGAAUUAAACAGAAAAGAAACUGUUUUAAUGAUUCUCAAUAAGGAGGCCAUGAAUUAGAAGAAGCCAAAAUACAUGAAGCUCUGCCAGUUCACAGAAUCAAAGCCGUGCUGCUCCUCCGCUGCACCCGCUCUGCUGCAGUCAUCACUAAAACUAAUGACAGCUACGAUGCUUCUGGCAACCAGGUAUGGG